UACGUAGGGGGCAAGCGUUGUCCGGAUUUAUUGGGCGUAAAGAGCUCGUAGGCGGUUUGUCGCGUCUGCUGUGAAAUCCCCAGGCUCAACUUGGGGCGUGCAGUGGGUACGGGCAGACUAGAGUGCGGUAGGGGAGACUGGAAUUCCUGGUGUAGCGGUGGAAUGCGCAGAUAUCAGGAGGAACACCGAUGGCGAAGGCAGGUCUCUGGGCCGUUACUGACGCUGAGGAGCGAAAGCAUGGGGAGCGAACAGG
rnacentral:rRNA from 1 species